rfam:Ornithorhynchus anatinus chromosome 7, whole genome shotgun sequence.
AGCAGCGUGGCUCAGUGGAAAGAGCACGGGCUUGGGAGUCAGCGGUCACGGGUUCGAAUCCCGGCUCUGCCA